GAUGAACGCUGGCGGCGUGCCUAAUACAUGCAAGUCGAGCGAACAGACGCUGCGCUUGCUCCGCUCACGUUAGCGGCGCACGUGUGAGUAACGCGUGGAUAACCUACCUGUAAGUCUGGGAUAACUUCGGGACACCGGAGCUAAUACCGGAUAAUCUCUUGCACCACAUUGUUCAAUAGUGAAAGACGGCUUUGCUGUCACUUAUAGAUGGUUCCCCGCCGCAUUAGCUAGUUGGUAGGGUAACGGCUUACCAAGGCGACGAUGCGUAGCCGAAGUGAGAGGGUGGUAGGCGGCACGGGAGGGGAGACACGGUCCAGACGCCUGCGGGAGGCAGCAGUAGGCAAUCGGCCGCAAUGGGGGAAAGCCUGACGCAGCGACGCCGCGUGAGUGAUGAAGGCCUUCGGAUCGGAAUACUCGGUUAUUAGGGGAGAACAAAUGUGUAAGUAGCUAUGCAGGUCGUGACGGUACCGAGUAAGAAAGCCCCGGCUAACUACGUG
rnacentral:rRNA from 1 species